rnacentral:rRNA from 1 species
UAGCGUAGGGGGCUAGCGUUGUCCGGAAUUAUUGGGCGUAAAGAGCUCGUAGGCGGCUUGUCGCGUCGGCUGUGAAAACCUGGGGCUCAACCCCGAACUUGCAGUGGGUAGGGCAGACUAGAGUGUGGUAGGGGAGACUGGAAAGUUCCUGGGUGUCAGCGGUGAAAUGACGCAGAUAUCAGGAGGAACACCGAUGGCGAAGGCAGGUCGUCUGGGCCAUAACUGACGCUGAGAAGCGAAAGCAUGGGGAGCGAACAGG